rnacentral:rRNA from 1 species
UCCGGAGCUAACGCGUUAAGUCGACCGCCUGGGGAGUACGGCCGCAAGGUUAAAACUCAAAUGAAUUGACGGGGGCCCGCACAAGCGGUGGAGCAUGUGGUUUAAUUCGAUGCAACGCGAAGAACCUUACCUGGUCUUGACAUCCACGGAAGUUUUCAGAGAUGAGAAUGUGCCUUCGGGAACCGUGAGACAGGUGCUGCAUGGCUGUCGUCAGCUCGUGUUGUGAAAUGUUGGGUUAAGUCCCGCAACGAGCGCAACCCUUAUCCUUUGUUGCCAGCGGUCCGGCCGGGAACUCAAAGGAGACUGCCAGUGAUAAACUGGAGGAAGGUGGGGAUGACGUCAAGUCAUCAUGGCCCUUACGACCAGGGCUACACACGUGCUACAAUGGCGCAUACAAAGAGAAGCGACCUCGCGAGAGCAAGCGGACCUCAUAAAGUGCGUCGUAGUCCGGAUUGGAGUCUGCAACUCGACUCCAUGAAGUCGGAAUCGCUAGUAAUCGUGGAUCAGAAUGCCACGGUGAAUACGUUCCCGGGCCUUGUACACACCGCCCGUCACACCAUGGGAGUGGGUUGCAAAAGAAGUAGGUAGCUUAACCUUCGGGAGGGCGCUUACCACUUUGUGAUUCAUGACUGGGGUGAAGUCGUAACAAGGUAACCA